rnacentral:rRNA from 1 species
CCUACGGGGGGCAGCAGUAAGGAAUAUUGGUCAAUGGACGCAAGUCUGAACCAGCCAUGCCGCGUGCAGGAUGAAGGCCUCUGGGUUGUAAACUGCUUUUAUGGGGGACGUGGUACCCUAGGAAUAAGCACCGGCUAACUCCGUGCCAGCAGCCGCGGUAAUACGGAGGGUGCAAGCGUUAUCCGGAUUUACUGGGUUUAAAGGGUGCGUAGGUGGAUAAGAAAGUCAGUGGUGAAAUCUUCGGGCUUAACCCGGAAACUGCCAUUGAUACUAUUUAUCUUGAAUACUCUGGAGGUAAGCGGAAUAUGUCAUGUAGCGGUGAAAUGCUUAGAUAUGACAUAGAACACCAAUUGCGAAGGCAGCUUACUACAUGUAUUGACACUGAGGCACGAAAGCGUGGGGAUCAAACAGGAUUAGAUACCCUUGUAGUC